rnacentral:rRNA from 1 species
GAUGAACGCUGGCGGCGUGCUUAACACAUGCAAGUCGAACGAAGCACUUUAUUUGAUUUCCUUCGGGACUGAUUAUUUUGUGACUGAGUGGCGGACGGGUGAGUAACGCGUGGGUAACCUGCCUUGUACAGGGGGAUACCAGUUGGAAACGGCUGCUACUGCGGCAUAGGGGCACGUGAACAGUUUCGGCGGUUGGAAAAACUCCGGUGGUAUAGAAUGGACCCGCGUGGGUUUGGGUAGUUGGUGAGGUAGCGGCCUACCAAGGCGACGAUCCAUAGCCGACCUGAGAGGGUGACCGGCCAGAUUGGGACUGAGACACGGACCAAACUCCGACGGGGAGCAGCAGUGGGGAAUAUUGCACAAUGGGCGAAAGCCUGAUGCAGCGACGCCGCGUGAGCGAAGAAGUAUUUCGGUAUGUAAAGCUCUAUCAGCAGGGAAGAUAAUGACGGUACCUGACUAAGAAGCACCGGCUAAAUACGUG